UCAAAACAGGCUUGUUUGUUAACACGCCGAUUAUUUGACUGCGAAUUUCCUCAUGCUGUGUUUGCCAUUCAAAACUAUUUUUUCGGACGUGAGAAAAUAUAAAGACUUCAUCAGUUGAGAAAACCCCGGAAUAAAUUUACGAAAAUAUGACGCUAAUCCAAUGAACUGUCUUAAAGAAGCAACUGACUUUAGUGGAGGCAACGCCACAAGAGAUUCUAUCUUGAUUAAGUUUGGGCGUAUCUCCCCGCUGUUAUCUCAUAGCCAAGAUAGCGAAUUGUAGAUCUUAAGAAAAAGCACUUCGAAAUGUUAAAAGAGAACCCUGCCUUCACCAGAACGCUUAAUUCCUGUUGCAAUCGCUCAUAUGCUUCUUCCUUAGUUUCUGAAACACUUAAUAUAUCGUCCUUAUAAACAAUUACAAACGUAUGAGCAAGGCUGCCAAGUGCGUUCAAUACAGCUCUUUGAAAAACUGAGGGUGCGUUCUUUAAUCCGAAAGGCAUUGAAAGAAAUUCGUACUGCCCAUCAGGAGUAACAAAAGCAGUACAUUCAAUCGAUUCAGGGUGCAUUGUAAUCUGGUAAUACCCGCUAGCCAUAUCAAGAGAAGUGAAAUAUUUAGUCUAGCUAUUUGUUCUGAUAUCAACGGUAAUGGGAACUUAUCAGCUACAGUAUUUUUAUUUAAUUCUCUGUAAUCAACACAAAGUCUUGCUGAACGAUUUUUCUUCUUCACUAAUAAUGCAGGACUAGCAAAUGCACGUACUAACUCCCUUUCGCUUGGACUAAAUCUGUAUGGUAGCCUUUGCACGGUCUUAGUUGGUUCAAUCAAACGAAUAUGCAUUUCCCCAGUAUCCACCCGCGUUUGUGGAGUGCCUUCAAUAAACGAUUUUGAAUAUUGUUUCAAUAAUGAUAUUAAAA